rnacentral:lncRNA from 1 species
UAACAUAUUUUAUUGGUAUAUGGUAAGCAAGUACAAACUGAACCCCUCGCAUAUCUUGUCUCAUGAACCCCUUUCACUCUAGGAGGAUCUGUCAUACGAGGAAGUAUCGGUUGACAUUGUGAACUGGAAGAGCAUAGUACUUUACAAUAGAGAAAUUUCCUUCAUCAAGAUCCUAUAGCAAAAUCACGCAAAGAAAGAGGCCAUUUAGGAGAUAGAAUCAGAUUUUCACGAAUGACCCAGAUGCAUUCCCUCUUUAGAUGUGAAUGAACGGAUGAGAUUAAUUACAAUGGAUAGUCUGAUUCGUCCAUGCCAUCGACUUAAACGAAAAAUCAACGACGAAUCAUACUCGCCCCAUGCUGACUCGAAUGAACGGCCUUGAUCG